GAUGAACGCUGGCGGCGUGCUUAACACAUGCAAGUCGAACGAUGAAGCCCAGCUUGCUGGGUGGAUUAGUGGCGAACGGGUGAGUAACACGUGAGUAACCUGCCCCUAACUCUGGGAUAAGCCUGGGAAACUGGGUCUAAUACCGGAUAGGAGCGUCCACCGCAUGGUGGGUGUCGGAAAGAUUUAUCGGUUUUGGAUGGACUCGCGGCCUAUCAGCUUGUUGGUGAGGUAAUGGCUCACCAAGGCGACGACGGGUAGCCGGCCUGAGAGGGUGACCGGCCACACUGGGACUGAGACACGGCCCAGACUCCUACGGGAGGCAGCAGUGGGGAAUAUUGCACAAUGGGCGCAAGCCUGAUGCAGCGACGCCGCGUGAGGGAUGACGGCCUUCGGGUUGUAAACCUCUUUCAGUAGGGAAGAAGCGAAAGUGACGGUACCUGCAGAAGAAGCACCGGCUAACUACGUG
rnacentral:rRNA from 1 species